UCUAAUACUUCUCUAGAAUUCUCUAUACAUACUAGAAUUCUCUAAUUCUAGCUAGUUCUCUUCAUCCUAACUUUUUCUCAACUAUUCUAGAUUAUUCCUCUUUCUCUAAUACAUUCUCAACCAUUCUACAUUUUUCUUCAUUCUCAACUAUUCUAGAUAUUUCUACAAAUUUCUUCUAAUUUCUUUUUUCCUUUCUUUUCUUUUAAUUCUAGAAUAUUCUUUACAAAUAUCUAUUCAAAUCAAGUUUAUAUUCCAACA
rnacentral:lncRNA from 1 species